GAAACUAAUUCAUAACUAACUAAGCUACCAGAUCAAUGUAUUGAUUAAGUUAUAAAUAGGGAGAAUGCUUUUCUUCUUUAUAAAUAAAUUUCCAUUCCACUUCUCUAACCAUAUAACCAGUCUUGAAGUUGCUGUUUCCCUCUUCCUGUCAACUAGCUUCCAGGUGAGCAUCGAGUGUUUCAGAAACAGGAGAAGCGCAUUUUCCUAAUCCUGGCCCAGAACCUCGGUCAAUUACGGUUCAAAAUGUACCACUACCUUCUGUUUCUCCUCAUUCUCCACUUCAGCUUAUUGUUAAUUAUAAUUAAUAUAGUACAAUUUGUUUAACAUCUCUAUUCUGUGCUAACAGAUGGAUAGGAUUUGGGUCUGCAACUGGCACAAUAGUGUUAGUUUGUGUUAGUUGCUCAGUUGUAUCCAACCCUUUGAGACCCCAUAGACUGCAGCCCAACAGGCUUCUCUGUCCAUGGGAUUCUCCACGCAAGAAUACUGGAGUGACUUGCCAUGGCCUUCCCCAGGGAAUCUUCCUGAACCAGACAUUGUCAUUAUCUUCCUAUGCAAUUUGCUCAUCAGAAACUACUGAAAAAUGGAAUGCCGAGGAAACCAUAUUGCCAUGCUUUACACUCCUAGGCAAAAAUAUUAGACCAGUGGGACUAUAUCAAACUAAAAACUUCUGCACAGCAAAGCAAACUAUCAACAGAAUGAAAAGGCAGCUUACCAAAUCAGAGAAAAUAUUUACAAACCAUCAUCUGAGAAAGCCUACAUUUUCAAAAUGUACAAGAAACUUUUAUAAACCAAUACGAAAACAAACAAGCAAACAAACCAAUCAAGCUUUAAACUGUGCAAAGGACUUGAACAAAUGUUUCUCCAAAGAUGGCAUAUAAAUGGCCAACAGGUAUAUGGAAAGAUGCUCAUCUAAAAAGAUUCCCUAAUUAAUGACUAGAGAAAGGCAAAUCAGAAGUUAAAUGAGAUAUCUCAUUCCUGUUAGGAUAGUUAUUAUUAAACAAAACAAAAGAUAACGAGUGUUGACCAGCAUGUAGAUAAAAGGAAACCCUUGUGAACUCUUAGUGCAAAUGUAAAUUUUUAGCCACUACAUAAAACAGCAAGAA
ensembl:lncRNA